GGCGUGGCGGCGUGCCAAACAUUGCAAGUCGAACCGGGGAACAGACGGAAACCCAAGUGAAGUUCUGUUCCCGAAGUGGCGGACGGGUGAGUAACGCGUGGAUAACCUGCCGCAUGCAGGGGGAUACCGGCUGGAAACAGCCGCUAAUACCGCAUAAGCGCACGGUGCCGCAUGGCAGAGUGCGAAAAGGAGAAAUCCGGCAAGCGAUGGAUCCGCGUCCGAUUAGCCAGUUGGCGGGGUAAGGGCCCACCAAAGCGACGAUCGGUAGCCGGCCUGAGAGGGCGGACGGCCACAUUGGGACUGAGACACGGCCCAGACUCCUACGGGAGGCAGCAGUGGGGGAUAUUGCACAAUGGGGGAAACCCUGAUGCAGCGACGCCGCGUGGGUGAAGAAGUAUUUCGGUAUGUAAAGCCCUAUCAGCAGGGAAGAAAGAAGACGGUACCUGACUAAGAAGCCCCGGCUAACUACGUGCCAGCAGCCGCGGUAAUACGUAGGGGGCGAGCGUUAUCCGGAUUCACUGGGUGUAAAGGGAGCGUAGACGGCCGUGCAAGCCAGGAGUGAAAGCCCGGGGCCCAACCCCGGGACUGCUCUUGGAACUGUGCGGCUGGAGUGCGGGAGGGGCAGGCGGAAUUCCUGGUGUAGCGGUGAAAUGCGUAGAUAUCAGGAGGAACACCGGCGGCGAAGGCGGCCUGCUGGACCGCGACUGACGUUGAGGCUCGAAAGCGUGGGGAGCGAACAGGAUUAAAUACCCUGGUAAUCCACGCCGUAAACGAUGACUACUAGGUGUCGGGGCACGACA
rnacentral:rRNA from 1 species